rnacentral:rRNA from 1 species
UUCUGGCUCAGGAUGAACGCUAGCUACAGGCUUAACACAUGCAAGUCGAGCGGAACAGCUUCGGCUGUUAGCGGCAGACGGGUGAGUAACACGUAUCCAACCUGUCCCUUACUCGGGUAUAGCCUCGGGAAACUGAGAGUAAUCCCCGAUGAAGUGUACGGAGAGCAUUUUUUGCACACCAAAGAUUAAUCGGUGAGGGUUGGGGAUGCGUUCCAUUAGGUAGUAGGCGGGGCAACGGCCCACCUAGCCGAUGAUGGAUAGGGGUUCUGAGAGGAAGGUCCCCCACAUUGGAACUGCGACACGGUCCAAACUCCUACGGGAGGCAGCAGUGAGGAAUAUUGGUCAAUGGGCGAGAGCCUGAACCAGCCAAGUAGCGUGCAGGAUGACGGCCCUAUGGGUUGUAAACUGCUUUUGUGCGGGAAUAACGGUCUUUACGUGUAGAGAUGUGCAUGUACCGUACGAAUAAGGAUCGGCUAACUCCGUGCCAGCAGCUGC